AUCUAGUUGAUGAGUCCUAAAAUAGGACGAAACACGUGUCUUGCAU
rnacentral:hammerhead_ribozyme from 1 species